rnacentral:ncRNA from 13 species
AAGUGAUGACAGAACCCCGGCUUGAAAGAUGAUAGAGCCGUGUGAGAACUGAUC